rnacentral:rRNA from 1 species
GAAGUCUGACGGAGCAACGCCGCGUGAGUGAUGAAGGUUUUCGGAUCUGUAAAGCUCUGUUGUUAGGGAAGAACAAGUGCAAGAGUAACUGCUUGCACCUUGACGGUACCUAACCAGAAAGCCACGGCUAACUACGUGCCAGCAGCCGCGGUAAUACGUAGGUGGCAAGCGUUGUCCGGAAUUAUUGGGCGUAAAGGGCUCGCAGGCGGUUUCUUAAGUCUGAUGUGAAAGCCCCCGGCUCAACCGGGGAGGGUCAUUGGAAACUGGGAAACUUGAGUGCAGAAGAGGAGAGUGGAAUUCCACGUGUAGCGGUGAAAUGCGUAGAGAUGUGGAGGAACACCAGUGGCGAAGGCGACUCUCUGGUCUGUAACUGACGCUGAGGAGCGAAAGCGUGGGGAGCGAACAGGAUUAGAUACCCUGGUAGUCCACGCCGUAAACGAUGAGUGCUAAGUGUUAGGGGGUUUCCGCCCCUUAGUGCUGCAGCUAACGCAUUAAGCACUCCGCCUGGGGAGUACGGUCGCAAGACUGAAACUCAAAGGAAUUGACGGGGGCCCGCACAAGCGGUGGAGCAUGUGGUUUAAUUCGAAGCAACGCGAAGAACCUUACCAGGUCUUGACAUCCUCUGACAACCCUAGAGAUAGGGCUUUCCCUUCGGGGACAGAGUGACAGGUGGUGCAUGGUUGUCGUCAGCUCGUGUCGUGAGAUGUUGGGUUAAGUCCCGCAACGAGCGCAACCC